rnacentral:rRNA from 1 species
UACGUAGGUGGCAAGCGUUGUUCGGAAUUAUUGGGCGUAAAGGGCGCGUAGGCGGCUCGUUAAGUCGGCUGUGAAAGCCCGGGGCUCAACCCCGGAGGGUCGGCCGAUACUGGAUGGCUUGAGUUUGGGAGAGGGAUGCGGAAUUCCAGGUGUAGCGGUGAAAUGCGUAGAUAUCUGGAGGAACACCGGUGGCGAAGGCGGCAUCCUGGACCAACACUGACACUGAGGAGCGAAAGCCAGGGGAGCAAACGGG